AACACAUAAUCCAAUUGAAAAAAGUUCUGGCCCAUUGAAACUAAACAUCCGCAUGAGAGAUGCCACAUGGCAACGGGAAUAAUGGAUCCAUACACAAAAGUGACUAAACACGUUUACCCAGCAAGAUUAAUUACUACUUUUAAACUUACCCUUUUCAUAUUCUCUGUUUAUUGAAUUGAAUGAAUUUAAAACAAACUUUAAUAAUACAUUGAACGUACCCUUUUGAAACGAAUGAAAACAAAUACUUUAUUUACUCGUAAAUUACUUUUUCUGUUCAUCAUCUCUCCCUUUUUCUAGAAAAAACGAUUUAAACCAAACCUUCUCUCUUUCUCUGCGAAAUCCAACACGACUAAAAAUAUGGGAACCAAAUGGUGUUCGUCUUCAUCAAGCCCAAAUUUUAGAAGCUAAAUAAUCCCCAAAGCAAAUUACUCAAACCCUAGCCGCAUAACAUUUUAAAAAAAAAAUCUCAACAUCAACCACAAUCAACUAUAAUUAGUCUGAAAUCCUAAAGCCUAGGAGAAAAAUAGGGGCUUCGGUGGUGAGAAGAUUGAUAUGAAAGGAAAUUCAGAGUGGCCUCGUUCGCAACUCCGGCGAGAUCCCGACGGUCGAAGAAAUACCUCAGGUAAAGGAUUGCGACUCUUACUCUUUAGCUCCAAGUCCUCGACUUCUUCUCCCCUUCUUCUUCAAAUUUUCGCCCUCUACUCGUCAAAGCGCUUUUUCUAAUGAACUGCGAUUUCGUCCAGGUUGAUUGAGCUUUGGUGUGUAGGUUGGGAUGUGAUUUCAGCAGGGUGACGGUGCCAGAAGGGAGAGGCCUUUCAAUGAAUGAGCGCUCCCUUUUAUAGAGUUUAAUACGAGGUUCAAUCCGCUCCUCCUUCAUGAGCUUGCAAAUCUUUGGAUGAAUCAAUCCGUUAGCCAAAAGAAUCUCGUCCAGAUUUGGUGGUCCUCCCUUUUGACGUGGUCCCCAAAAUGAAG
rnacentral:lncRNA from 1 species